GAUGAACGCUGGCGGCGUGCCUAAUACAUGCGAGUCGAGCGAACGGACGAGAAGCUUGCUUCUCUGAUGUUAGCGGCGGACGGGUGAGUAACACGUGGAUAACCUACCUAUAAGACUGGGAUAACUUCGGGAAACCGGAGCUAAUACCGGAUAAUAUUAUGAACCGCAUGGUUCAAAAGUGAAAGACGGUCUUGCUGUCACUUAUAGAUGGAUCCGCGCUGCAUUAGCUAGUUGGUAAGGUAACGGCUUACCAAGGCAACGAUGCAUAGCCGACCUGAGAGGGUGAUCGGCCACACUGGAACUGAGACACGGUCCAGACUCCUACGGGAGGCAGCAGUAGGGAAUCUUCCGCAAUGGGCGAAAGCCUGACGGAGCAACGCCGCGUGAGUGAUGAAGGUCUUCGGAUCGUAAAACUCUGUUAUUAGGGAAGAACAUAUGUGUAAGUAACUGUGCACAUCUUGACGGUACCUAAUCAGAAAGCCACGGCUAACUACGUG
rnacentral:rRNA from 1 species